rnacentral:rRNA from 1 species
UACGGAGGGAGCUAGCGUUGUUCGGAAUUACUGGGCGCAAAGCGCACGUAGGCGGCUAUUCAAGUCGGGGGUGAAAGCCCGGGGCUCAACCCCGGAACUGCCCUCGAAACUAGAUAGCUAGAAUCUUGGAGAGGCGAGUGGAAUUCCGAGUGCAGAGGUGAAAUUCGUAGAUAUUCGGAAGAACACCAGUGGCGAAGGCGACUCGCUGGACAAGUAUUGACGCUGAGGUGCGAAAGCGUGGGGAGCAAACAGG